rnacentral:lncRNA from 1 species
AUCUGCUCUAGUGCCAUCCAUUUCCCUGCAAAUGCCCUAAAUUAAUUAAAUAGUCUGAAUCAUUUAGAAUAUCAUUUCUCCCCUCCCUCCAUCAAGUUAGCUUUUGUGCUUAUUUUCCUAUCGUUGGGGAUCUAAUUCAUCUGAUAAGAUACAUUUCUAAUAUUUUUUCAGUCAAAUAUCCCGAUGUGAGAUGAAAUAACAACUGAAGACAAUCAGUCUUACAGAUAGAGACGAAUGUAGAGAGACUUUAUAAAUUCAGGUAGUCUCUAGUUGUAAUUUAGUACCAGGAACCUUAAGCUGAGGUCCCUUUAGUCCCAUUCUUAUUUUUUCCAACUUCCUAAAAACACACUCUUCUCUUUUUUCCUAUAGUAGCAGGGAAAGCUGGGCUGCCUAGGUGAAGAUUAGUGAUCUGUACUGUUUGUAUGUUUAGGUCAUUUAUUAAAUGGCAGCAUAGCAUAAUUGUUGAGGUUAAGCUCUCAAGCCCAAUUUCCC